AGUGAACGCUGGCGGUAGGCCUAACACAUGCAAGUCGAACGGCAGCACAGUAAGAGCUUGCUCUUACGGGUGGCGAGUGGCGGACGGGUGAGGAAUACAUCGGAAUCUACUUUUUCGUGGGGGAUAACGUAGGGAAACUUACGCUAAUACCGCAUACGACCUACGGGUGAAAGCAGGGGAUCUUCGGACCUUGCGCGAUUGAAUGAGCCGAUGUCGGAUUAGCUAGUUGGCGGGGUAAAGGCCCACCAAGGCGACGAUCCGUGGCUGGUCUGAGAGGAUGAUCCGCCACACUGGAACUGAGACACGGUCCAGACUCCUACGGGAGGCAGCAGUGGGAAUAUUGGACAAUGGGCGCAAGCCUGAUCCAGCCAUACCGCGUGGGUGAAGAAGGCCUUCGGGUUGUAAAGCCCUUUUGUUGGGAAAGAAAAGCAGCAGGUUAAUACCCCGCUGUUCUGACGGUACCCAAAGAAUAAGCACCGGCUAACUUCGUG
rnacentral:rRNA from 1 species